rnacentral:lncRNA from 1 species
UCCACUCAGAGUCUCGAAAGAUACUGUCCACGAGCCGUGAGACCCGCUCAUGUUCCUGAGAACGUUUUGCUGAGAAUGAUGACUCUCAAGCCGCCAGAAACUGCAUGUUGAAGAAACUUAGCGGAGGGAAUUUGACACACUGAAAUCCAGGA